ACUCCUACGGGAGGCAGCAGUGGGGAAUAUUGCACAAUGGGCGCAAGCCUGAUGCAGCCAUGCCGCGUGUAUGAAGAAGGCCUUCGGUUGUAAAGUACUUUCAGCAGUGAGGAAGGCGGGUACGUUAAUAGCGUGCUCGUUUGACGUUAGCUGCAGAAGAAGCACCGGCUAACUCCGUGCCAGCAGCCGCGGUAAUACGGAGGGUGCGAGCGUUAAUCGGAAUUACUGGGGCGUAAAGCGCAUGCAGGUGGUUUGUUAAGUCAGAUGUGAAAGCCCGGGGCUCAACCUCGGAAUUGCAUUUGAAACUGGCAGACUAGAGUACUGUAGAGGGGGUAGAAUUUCAGGUGUAGCGGUGAAAUGCGUAGAGAUCUGAAGGAAUACCGGUGGCGAAAGGCGGCCCCCUGGACAGAUACUGACACUCAGAUGCGAAA
rnacentral:rRNA from 1 species